rnacentral:rRNA from 1 species
AGCGAACGCUGGCGGCAGGCCUAACACAUGCAAGUCGAACGAAGCCUUCGGGCUUGGUGGCGGACGGGUGAGUAACACGUGGGAACGUACCGUUUGGUUCGGAACAACUCAGGGAAACUUGAGCUAGUACCGGAUGAGCCCUUAGGGGGAAAGAUUUAUCGCCGAAAGAGCGGCCCGCGUUAGAUUAGCUAGUUGGUGAGGUAAAGGCUCACCAAGGCAACGAUCUAUAGCUGGUCUGAGAGGAUGAUCAGCCACACUGGGACUGAGACACGGCCCAGACUCCUACGGGAGGCAGCAGUGGGGAAUCUUGCGCAAUGGGCGAAAGCCUGACGCAGCCAUGCCGCGUGAAUGAUGAAGGUCUUAGGAUUGUAAAAUUCUUUUACCAGGGACGAUAAUGACGAUACCUGGAGAAAAAGCCCCGGCUAACUUCGUGCCAGCCGCCGCCGUAAAAC